AACCCUUGUAUGACAGUGUCAACUGUCAGUGUCUUGUGUUGUUAUUGCGAAAAAGUGUUGCAGAUGAGAGAACAGUUUUGACACAAAUAGUUUUACAGGACUUAUAUUAAAUGAUACGUAUUAACAAUCUAGUUACUACGUGUUACUGCAAGCAAGCGUUGAGUUAAAUAUAAUUGUUUCCAAAUUAUAUUACGUUUUAAAAUGCCUCAAGGUAGAAGAAAAGUACCAUUUAGCGGCAAAGCUAAAUAAUUGCAACUACAAAUGAAACGACAAGGCCAAACCUCAAAAUCUUCUGUUCUACUGAAAACAACACAAAGCCAAAGCGAGGAUGAUACAAAUUGUCAAAAAAUUGAUUUCCACGCUUCUCAAAAUAACAGAAACACAAGCAGAUAUG